rnacentral:rRNA from 1 species
CCCUUAGAUGUUCUGGGCUGCACGCGCGCUACACUGGUGCGUUCAGCGAGUUUAGCACCUUAACAGAUAUGUUUGGGUAAUCUUCUGAAAACGCACCGUGAUGGGGAUCGAUUAUUGUAAUUAUUAAUCGUCAACGAGGAAUUCCUAGUAAGUGUGAAUCAGCAGUUCGCGCUGAUUACGUCCCUGCCCUUUGUACACACCGCCCGUCGCUGCUACCGAUUGAGUGGUCCGGUGAAUUAUUCGGACCGGUGGACUGUGGGGAAACCCGCGGCCUGCUGGGAAGUCUUGUGAACCUUAUCACUUAGAGGAAGCAGAAGUCGUAACA